rfam:Medicago truncatula strain A17 chromosome 1, whole genome shotgun sequence.
AAACAGUCCCCUAUGUAUUGGAUCUUUGGCAGUUUUGGCCCCAAGAUCACUUUUGACUUGGUCUUCGCUAACAUGGCACCCACAAUGGUCGACACGUGGCACCUCACUUAAGGGAUGUGGGUGCCACAUCAGCGAAAACCAAGUCAAAAGUGGCCUGGGGGCCAAAGAUCCAAUACAUAGGGGGCUGUUU